UACGUAGGGGGCUAGCGUUGUCCGGAAUCAUUGGGCGUAAAGCGCGCGUAGGCGGCCCGGUAAGUCCGCUGUGAAAGUCAAAGGCUCAACCUUUGAAUGUCAGCGGAUACUGCCGGGCUAGAGUCCGGAAGAGGCGAGUGGAACUCCUGGUGUAGCGGUGGAAUGCGCAGAUAUCAGGAAGAACACCAACGGCGAAGGCAGCUCGCUGGGACGGAACUGACGCUAAGGCGCGAAAGCGUGGGGAGUGAACAGG
rnacentral:rRNA from 1 species